AGCUGUUAGCGCAUAAAAACUGAUCCUUAUCGGCCUUUGUUUCGCCGUUGCUAUGUGACUUUAUAUUUGCUACGAGUAUAUUUCUCUUUCUCGUUAACCAUAAGAUAAACUAAGAUUAACUAUAAGAACGCAUGAACAAAACUAUGUUAAACAAAGUAUCAACCCAACAUAUUACUAUAGAAUUUGUAACAUAUUUUUAAUAACCAUCUCUAUUUCUGUUUGAAUUUUGCCUUUUAUUUUUUUUUAUUGGUGGCAGAGAACACGGCUAUACACGCCGUUGAACUAAAAUAAAAGGUUGCCAAUUGGAGUAAUUUAGGGUCGGUGGGAGAAGGGAUGAUAAUGUGGUUCUUUUAUAUUUACACCACACAAAAAUAAUUUCACAAAAUUUGUUCAUCACACUACGCCAAUUUCUGUGCUUAGAGGUUAGUAGAAAAUUUAUCUUUGCAUAGAAUUUAUAACUUCUUAAAAAAUGACAAAAAUAGAUCAACAAAGAUAUUUUCAAGUAAUCAUAACGCUAUGUCAAUAUAACGGUUUUAUGUAUCUUAGAAUGACACAUUAAAAAAGAGUGUGAAAAUUCCAAACUUCAUUGAAAAUAAUUAACAUUUUUAUGUAAAAUAACUUAAACCUUACGUAGGAUUUUCUAACCUUAAAUGUACAGAAACAGUAAGUUUCAAUCAUAUGAAUCAUAAAUUUAAGAUUUGUGCAUUCUGUAAAAAAAAAAAUAAUCACUGUUUAUCAUACUCUGUAUCAUCAGAAAUAUUGCGCAAACUACAGAAUAUGUAAUAUGUAAAAUAGAAUAUGUAAGUAAUAACUAUACUUACUAAAACUAGUUAAACUUGUUUCUUGAUGACGUUUUUAAAGCCUACGCUAGAAGAAUAGCCUAAAGGAUCAAUUUAUUGCAGUAAUCUUAUAUAUUAAGAUUGGAGUUUGCCACUACUAUUGGUCAACUAAAGAAAAUACAUUCGUUCCAAAAAGCUUGCAGUAAUAAAAAACGGAAUCAAUAUGGAUAAAAACUCAAAAUCUAUUAAAAGUACUGGUGCUUCUUUAAGAAAAAUGGGAGAUAGUUUACAAAAGAAAUACGAAACCAAGAAGAAAUAUUCCUCAACAUCUUCUUCGUCAUCUUCAUCAUCAUACAAAAACAAGACAAGCUACAGUAGUACCAGUAAAACGAAAAAAAAUGGAAAGUAGAUGACAUUUGCUGGAAGAUGAUGUUUCUCAUAAGCGAAGUCGCUGAAAACGAUCUUUAUGAGGAUGUUAAAAAAAUGACUGCUGAAAUAACAACGAGCAUGUUUCAAUUUCAUCAAGACGUGCACAGACAUCCGUUGUUUUGAACGAUUAUAAGGGAAAAUGACAAUUAGAAUGAAAAAGACAUUCUGGCGAGAUUGCCAACUUAUUGUGAUUUUUAUGUUGUACAAAUUGUAUGUUUUAUGAUUUAAAUGUGUUUCUGCACAUUGCAGGUUAGAAAGUUACUUUAUAUAAAAAUCUUAAUUAACUUUCAAUAAAGUGUGGCAAGUUCAU